CUGCGGCAGCGACACUCAGGUGUUGUUGGGUAGGGGAGCGUUCUGUAAGCCUGCGAAGGUGGCCUGUGAGGGUUGCUGGAGGUAUCAGAAGUGCGAAUGCUGACAUAAGUAACGAUAAAGCGGGUGAAAAGCCCGCUCGCCGGAAGACCAAGGGUUCCUGUCCAACGUUAAUCGGGGCAGGGUGAGUCGACCCCUAAGGCGAGGCCGAAAGGCGUAGUCGAUGGGAAACGGGUUAAUAUUCCCGUACUUGGUGUUACUGCGAAGGGGGGACGGAGAAGGCUAUGUUGGCCGGGCGACGGUUGUCCCGGUUUAAGCGUGUAGGUGUGUGUUCCAGGUAAAUCCGGUUCACUUUAACACUGAGGCGUGAUGACGAGGCACUACGGUGCUGAAGCAACAAAUGCCCUGCUUCCAGGAAAAGCCUCUAAGCAUCAGGUAACAUCAAAUCGUACCCCAAACCGACACAGGUGGUCAGGUAGAGAAUACCAAGGCGCUUGAGAGAACUCGGGUGAAGGAACUAGGCAAAAUGGUGCCGUAACUUCGGGAGAAGGCACGCUGACACGUAGGUGAAGUGAUUUACUCAUGGAGCUGAAGUCAGUCGAAGAUACCAGCUGGCUGCAACUGUUUAUUAAAAACACAGCACUGUGCAAACACGAAAGUGGACGUAUACGGUGUGACGCCUGCCCGGUGCCGGAAGGUUAAUUGAUGGGGUCAGCGCAAGCGAAGCUCCUGAUCGAAGCCCCGGUAAACGGCGGCCGUAACUAUAACGGUCCUAAGGUAGCGAAAUUCCUUGUCGGGUAAGUUCCGACCUGCACGAAUGGCGUAAUGAUGGCCAGGCUGUCUCCACCCGAGACUCAGUGAAAUUGAACUCGCUGUGAAGAUGCAGUGUACCCGCGGCAAGACGGAAAGACCCCGUGAACCUUUACUAUAGCUUGACACUGAACAUUGAGCCUUGAUGUGUAGGAUAGGUGGGAGGCUUUGAAGCGUGGACGCCAGUCUGCGUGGAGCCGACCUUGAAAUACCACCCUUUAAUGUUU
rnacentral:rRNA from 1 species